UGCAGUCGACGAGAAUCUGCGGAAAGAGGAUUCGUCCAAUUGAAGCAGAGGACAGUGGCGGACGGGUGAGUAACGCGUGAGGAACCUGCCUUUCAGAGGGGGACAACAGUUGGAAACGACUGCUAAUACCGCAUGACAUAUAGAUGUCGCAUGGCAUUUAUAUCAAAGAUUUAUCGCUGAAAGAUGGCCUCGCGUCUGAUUAGCUAGUUGGUGAGGUAACGGCCCACCAAGGCGACGAUCAGUAGCCGGACUGAGAGGUUGAACGGCCACAUUGGGACUGAGAUACGGCCCAGACUCCUACGGGAGGCAGCAGUGGGGAAUAUUGGGCAAUGGGCGCAAGCCUGACCCAGCAACGCCGCGUGAAGGAAGAAGGCUUUCGGGUUGUAAACUUCUUUUGUCAUGGACGAGUAGAAGACGGUACCUGACGAAUAAGCCACGGCUAACUACGUGCCAGCAGCCGCGGUAAUACGUAGGUGGCAAGCGUUGUCCGGAUUUACUGGGUGUAAAGGG
rnacentral:rRNA from 1 species